rnacentral:lncRNA from 1 species
AUGGUACACUUGUAACUGUCUUUAUACUUAUAACUGCCUCUUUUAAUCUAGUAACAGCUUAAGUUUUGAUCGUUUACAAAAACUGCCCUUUUAUUUUUGACUGUCACAAUUUACCUCUUCCUAUUUGUGUAUCUGUUAACAAAUUACUGCAACCAUAGUUACUUUUAACAGGGUGCCAAGGCAUCGAGGUCACCCAGGAAGUCAGGCUACUCACUCUUGGUGCAUCAUGGGGAAGCUGGUGACCAUGAAGUAGAGAGCUGACCAUUUUCAAAGCCAUUCCUGUGCUCCUGGACACUUGGGUUGCAUCUACUUCUUUGCUUCUGCAAACAGCACCUCGGUGAACCUCCUGGAUGGCCUCCUCAUGCCUACCUGCAUGGCGGGAUUCUGGAGGCCUGGCAGAAGCUACACCUGGAUUCCCACUGCUGAACCCAUGUAACUGGCAUUUGGACUUUUCUACCCAGUUACCCCCUUACGGUGAGUGAAGCACUUGGGGGUCAUUCCUCCUCAACCUUGCGAACUUGGCAAGGUCCCUGAUCUAGCACACCUUCUAUUUUUUUUUUUUUUGAUCUGUGGAAAGAUAACCAUGACAAAAUACAUACCCUGAGAUGGUUUCAGUGGGGAGCGUUAAAUUAGAUACAAAUUAGAAACUCUCAUCGUAGUAUCUGGAACAUGUUCACAGUCUAUGAAUAAGAGCCAAAAUUUCUUAGUGUCCGAACUUUCUCAUGGGAAGGUGUGAAGCUUACCCUGCAGUAUAGGGAAAGUGGAAUUCUCUGGGCCUGGCUCCAGCCUUUGUCCUGCCACUUCUGACACACCGGGAACUCAUUUCCCUUUCUGAGACCGUUUUGUUCCAGUUUGGCUGGGUGGAGAAACGAGGGGGAAGGUUGGGGGCUUUGAAGGCCCAAGGAAAUAAUAAAG